rnacentral:tmRNA from 1 species
GGGGCUGUAAGGUGUUCGACAUAAGUUGUUGUUAUUCAAUAAUUGCAAAUCAAAUUCUACCUUUUUCUAUUCCCGUUAAACAUCUAGCUGUUUAAAUUUAAAGACAAUUUAAAGACAAUCUAAAGACUCAAGAGACAAAAAUUUUAGGUAUUUAGGUAACUUUUAGGUAACUAAGUAAGGAACUAAGUAACGAAAACAACUUAUGGACGUGGGUUCAAUUCCCACCAGCUCCAAUG